rnacentral:lncRNA from 1 species
AGGAUUGCAUGGCCUUGAGAGGGGAAUAUAUUUCAUUGUGGGAGGCAUACAUGGAUCAUCUCGAAGGACAACAAACUGAAGUUGCUGAUUAUGUCCCAAUAGAUGAUUACAUGGUCUGGUAUAGGAAAAUUACACGUUGAAAAAUCCACCGACCUCGACAGGCAAGCGACCACGACAGUUGUUAUGAGCCUCGGGCCAUUUACAACCAACAACACCUUAUUCAAAUGGUAUAAAAUUAUAUUCUUCUUU